GACCAUAGUGGAAAGAUGAAAUCAACUGGAUUUGGUUCUUAGGUGUAAUAAUGGCAUUUUGGUUAUGUAAGAGAAUGUUCUUAUUUCUAAGAGAUGCACACAGGAAUCUUUAGGGAUGAAGGGCCAUAAUGUCUGUAAUUUACUUUCAAAUGUCCAUCAUAUUCAUACACACAUACACAGUAUAUCUGUGAGAUAAUAAGAGUGAAAAGGUAAAUAGCAUCUUAGUAGUAUUAUGAAAAAAAUAUAUAUGGAGAGAGGGAAAGGGGAGAAAAAGCAAAUAUGAGACAAAAUAUUAGCAAUUUUGAAUCUACAUGAAAGCAAUCUAGUAAAUGAUGAAUCAUUUUAGUCUUCUUCCAGCCCUUUCUGUAGGUUUGACAAUUUUCAAAAUAAAAAGAUGGGGAAAAAAUGAAAAGAAAAAAAAAACUUUAAAAAGUCUUGGUAAUCACUGAUUAGAUAUGAGAGAAAGGGAGUGACUUUCUGGUUCCUUGCCUGGCAACAGAGUAGACAGCACUGUCCUUCCCAAGAGGGAAGUGCAAGAGGAGAAAUCGAAUUGGAGGGAUGAUGAGUUCGUUAUGGAGUGUGUGGACUUUGAGGUGCUCUGGGCUCCAACAGGCAACGUGCAACCCUGAAGUUUUUGAGAGGGAAAUGUGGUAAAGAUGCAGACAUGGGUGUCUUUAGAAUCUAGAUGGUAAUGGAAGGUACUGGGGGACCCUGGAGUAUCAAGGGCAUGUGUGGAGAAUGAGAAGAGAUGAGGUGUGAGGAUGAAAUCCUGGCGGACACUGACAUUUCAGGGUCAGCAAAGAAGGAUAUUGGAGUAGACAACUUCCAAGGUGGCCCAUGACACCACCUCUUCACAGGCAGGCUUUUGUGUAGUCAGCCCCUCUCACACUGUAUCAGUGUUGGCCUGUCAGACAAGAGGGGUGGAAGUGAUGGCAUGUCACUCCUGAGAUUACAUCAUAAAAGACAUUGUGGCUUUCAUCUAGGCUUGCUACAUGCUCAUUCUUGUGGAUCCCUUGUUCUGGGGGAAGCCAUCUAUCAUGUCAUGGUAGGCUACAGGGAGUUCCAUGUGGGGAAGAACUGAAACCUCCUCCCAACAGCCAUGUGAGGAAGCUUGGAAAACCUUAGAAGAGUAUCCUUUAAAAAAAAGUUUUAAAUUAAACACAAAUAAAUACAUAAACAGUACAACUGCAAUCUCAUGAGACAUCCCAAGCGAGACAACUCAGCAACAGAUAACGAACACAGACAAACCUCAAAGGUGAGUUAGAAGGGAAUAUGUCGAGACAGGAGAACCAUGAGCCUGGGAUCUUGAGAAUAUGUCAUGGAAGACAGCCUGGAAUACGGUGGCUAAUACUACUGAAUGGCAGAGGAUUGGAAUUUUCAACAAAGAGGGCUCACAAUCUACUUAAAAAUUUCGAUAUAGUCACUCAUUUAUUCUACAAACAUUUACCAAAGUCCUUUGAUGUGUCAGCUCUAAGCACUCAAGAUGGAGUGGCAGUAGGAUCCCAACACUUAUAUCUGUCCAGAAUUGGUCAUCAGCUGGCUUGAGUUCUCCCAUUCUGCCUGUGCCUUCCCUUAGCAAGGGAAAGAACAAGAUGGAAGAGAAGGAAAAGGCUUGAUUGAACCAGCCAAUAGAUAAUUAGAAGCUGACUAUUUUGCAAUAAUGCAGCACAACAGCAAUAAAUAAAUCAAUCACUUGGGGGGUGGGGAAUGACUUCCCUAUAAUCAGCUAUUAAAGACUUGUACCACUAAUUAGUCUAUUAAUUAGAACUGUUCUCUUCCUUCCACAUGUUAUCAGCCUGCCAAGGCAGAGAAAACUCAGCCCCGGGGGCAGGAGAUAAGAGAAGUAAGACAUACAGAAGUGGCAGAUUCAAACAGCUGGGCUUGUGUGUGUUUUAAAAGCACAGUUCUUAGUGCCCCGGGCAUAUCCACCUGCUAGUAGGAAAAGAACGUUUAUCAAAAACCAAAAGGCUGUUGUCUUUGUUGAGCAGAAAGGGGAAAAAAAGAUUUAAUCUUUAAAGAGAAAAACCACUGUAACCACACUCAGGGAUCUGUGAAGGGCAGUUCCACUGGGUGUUCCCUACAGCACAGGACACAGUGAGAAAC
rnacentral:lncRNA from 1 species